rnacentral:lncRNA from 1 species
UGGCUAUAUCCACGGCGUGCAUAUAGGAGACCAACUCCUUAACGUUAUUCUUCAAGUCUUUCUGAGGGCGAUACUUGCGCCAAAAAGGUAGUGGAGUUGUGUGACGCUCGUCACGCUAUGUGUGACGUCUGUCACAAGUCUGUUUUGCGUGACGCUCGUCACACACCCUGUGACGUCCGUCACAGGCACAGCGUUGAUGACUUGUGCGCUUUGGGCUGGGCUUUGGCAUUUGGUCCCUUUUCUCUUCUUUUUA